UGAGAUAAACUCCUUGGAGUGUCAGUCCUGAUGUGCCCGGAGAGGAGACUCAGUAACUUGUGAGGAAACAGGUCUGUGCUUGUGGCACAGCAGCAGCACCCUGAGCCUUGCUCCAGCAGGAGGAGAGGUUCCAGUGCCCUCGAGGUGGCCCUUGUUCCAUUCACAGAGGUUUAUUGUUUCCUCCCUGGAAGUGAGUUCCAAGAUCUGCCCUUCUUGUGGCACAACCAGAUGGACGAGAGGUGUCAGGUUUCUUCAUAGGUGAGGUGAAAGAACCCCAAGUAAUUUCAGAGGACUCCUGGGGUGCCCCGGCUGGGCAGAACUCUGCUGACAAAGCUGCCCUGCUCUGGGACACCCUGGAGAGGUGGGGAUUUCAAGACUAACACAUGAAUUCCUGCAGAAAGAGAUGAGUAAUCCUACACAAGUCACAGCCUUGAGAGUGUUCUAUAUGAGCCUUUUCUUUCACAAGUGCAAUAGAAAUACCAGAAUAUCAGUUACUGCUAUGCUCAUUCACAUCCAGAAGCCAGGGAAGCGUUUUAUGUAAUGUUUUCUCCCCCAUACUUCUUUUUAACUUCUUCAUUUUAUUAAAUCUCCCCAGGAGGUGAGAAAAUCCACCCACCCACCCCCCAGUGCAGCUGAACAGCACAAAAAUCAUCAUUUGACCCUGUCACAUCAAAUGGUGACGUGAUUAUUUUGUUAUUUGGAGUAGAGAGGACAGAAGAGAAAGAGCAGCCUGAUUAUCUCCUAAUCCUGAACCAAUUUAAAGAGCGAUGAAAUAACUGCUGUGAGAUGGAGGUUAACAGCAAUCUAAACGACAUGGAGAAAAGUUAAUUAACUUCUCAGCAAAAUGUGACAAAGUAACAAAAAAAUCCCAACCCUUGGGUGCUGCAAAAUGGUGGCCUAGAGCAAAGAUAAAGCCCUUGAGGGUGCAAUUUCUCUGGGAUUUUAUACAAGUUUAAAACUAAGAGGGAAUUUUGAGAGCUGUGUUUCCCUUGGCAACCAUACAUCUGGUGCAAAUAUAUGGUCCCUCCUGCUUGGGAUGGUUCUUUGGGAAAAUCAUGGAGCUGAACUAAGCCUGGAAUGCCCAUUUCACUGGGGGUUGUUGGAGCCAGUGUCCCGAGCAAGCCGCUGGGUGUCAUUAACACUUCCCCUUGGAUUGCACCUGGGGAAUUUGCUGAGUUUAUGUGUGUGUGGCACUUCCAAGGCGAAACUGUGCUGUGGAAAUUAUUCUUUCACUACAAAUUGGCGGCUCUCUAGGGGAAAGGCUGCUGCUGCGACGAGGGGAAGCGCUGCUGCUAACCAGAGUGUCCACGGAAUUGACGCGGAACGGGUGAGAUUAAAACCAACAUUCACUCGCGGCUGGGCUGAGCAAAUCUUUGUGCUGCCAGUGAAAUAUGAACCGCAGAGGAGAGGUUGUGUAAAUGUUGCUUAAGAACUUUGUACCCGCUGUGGUACAAAGCUUCAACCUGCCAGGGCACCGGUGCUGCCCAAGGUCUGCCCACUGCUGUCAUUGUUUGUAAUAUUCCUGCUAUUCCUGCCAGUUCCCUUUCACCGAGUGCUUUAAUUAUUGUACACAGUACCAAGGCCUGGCCGUGUUUCCCCGUGGAAACAGCCUGACAGGCUGAAACUGGGACCACAAAGCCAGGAAAGCCAGGAUGGAUGAAAACAGGGAUUCUGAGGAUUGCCCUGCGUUUGCAGAACAAUCUGCUGAGGGCUUUGUGGGAGCUGCUGCUGCUGUGGCACACAGGGAUGAGCGCAACCAAACUGAAACUUAGCUGGAGUUUUAAAUGGUAUUUAAGCUGUUAACUAGAGCAUGGGAACAUCCCUUCUGAAACUGGCCAAGGACAGAAUAUUGUCCAGAAAGCACAGUCUGAAAAAAUGUUGUUGUUCCUUUUUUUUUUCUUUAAAUGUGAGUCUCUCAAAAUGUUUAUGCACUCAGGAAUGCUAUUUUGGCCACUGAAAGGCACCUAAAGGAAUGCAAACAAAACGCUGUGUGUCUGUGUAUAAAUAUAGAGAUAUAUUUCUGGGAUGUAGAUUUCAAAAUAUCAACUUGGAUAAAAAUCAACAAAGUCCAGAGAAACCCUGUACCUUAUCAUGCUUUGUAUAAAAUGUCUGGAUAAGGAUUUCAUUCACAGUGAUGAGAAAGAAAAGCUUGGUCUUAGAUUUUAUUGCCAGGUUUUUAUUUGUCAAAAUUCUUACAGUGGUAACUAAACUAAACAAAAAACUCUGCAAAUCCCAGCCCAUGUGAGCAGGUGUCAGGGGUAAGACCCAGGGGGCUUCAGCUGGAUUUAUUUCAGGCACAAACUGCCCUGCACUCUCAUUUUUGCCACAUGCACAGUUUAGUGCUACAGCAGGUGUCAGGACACCCGAGGGUGAAGUGGCUCGGAUUUAACUCAGUUGUGUUGAGUAAUCCUCGAGAUGCAAAAUACAAAACCACAGGGAAAAUGCUAAUUAAUAACACAGUUAGAAAAUAAAUGCUUACAAUGGGGUAAACUACCCUGUUUCUGCAGGAAAGCAGGAAAGACGAACAGAAUGUAACAGGCGGGUGUCCAGAAUAACAAAGCUGUGGUUUUAUUUGGGGUUUUAAACACGUGGUUUCUUCUCUGGGAGCUCUGGAUGGUUGGGAGUGGGUGAGUUCCUUCACGCACCACACUGGGUUUGUAGGGCAGUCAGUAAAACGAGGCUUUGGGGCGCUGCUGGUUUAAUUCCAGCCAUUAAUAAGCGGGAACCUGGCUGGAAAAUGCACCAGCCAGGUAUUUUCAUACAGUUUCCACAGCACUGUGGAGUGUUUAUUCAUUAAUAUUGAUGUGCUCCACAUCCGUGUGGAAGUUUUUCCGCAGUCUCCAGCCGUGCCAAAGGGCCGAAGGGCGCUGCAGGAGGCAGCCUGCAGACUUUGUCCCCCCCGUGCCUGCCGGCAGCCACCGUUCCUGCGGGCUGGAACUCCUUCCCAAAAUGUGCUCAGAGCACCUCUGUGUGUCUGCAAGGCCAGGGGCUGGGCUGGGACUGCUGGAGUUGUGGGCAGGAGCACAAGUUCCUGGGAACUACACUGGGGUGUGUGGAGAGACUCCAAACCCUGUGUGCGGGCUCUGCCAGGGCCAGGCUGUGCUGCUGCUGCUCUGGAUAAGGCUGUGGUACCUCCAGAACCUGCGUCUGUGCAGAACCACAUCCAGGCCUGGCAGUCUGGGGGGACGGCUGGAAGGCUCCUGACAGCCCCUGGCUGGCAGCCACCGCGUCACACACAGCCUGGGAAGUGCUUGGCAGUGCCAAGUGUUAUAAAUUUUUAUUAUGAUAUUGGCUCUCGCAGAUGAAUAUUACAUAUUAAAUACUUUUUAGCUAUG